ensembl:lncRNA
CUCCUGAUGCUCUCCUGAUGCUCUCCCGAUGCUCUCAGUGCCUCCAGGCAGGAUUUGUGCCCUGGACGUGCCUUGGAGGCAGCGCUGAAAUGGAUGCUGCUCACUGAGCUCCUUAAUUGCUUUUAGUUGUAGACUUAUUAAAGAACAAGAUUUAAAUAACGUCAGGGGGAGGAAGGAAAAAACACCUCAAUAAAAACAAGCUGAAGGAGCGAGAGGAGAAGCUUCCCGUGGUGCCGAGCAGGAGCUGCCCGGGAGGAGUCAUCAGCAAAGGCUUCCAGGAAAGACCUUUCCCCCAAGGAAUUUUCCAGAAGCUACUCUGGACGUGGAUGUUGGGAUUUCAAAUAUCAAAGGAACAAAGGGCCGUGAGUCACACGCUUCUUUCCGCUGCAUCCGAGGGUCCCUUGUGUCCCCAGGGUGUCCCUGAGGAGCUGGGAACGGGAGCCGGAGCCGGGGAUGGAGCGGGAGCAGGCGGGGAAGGGGCUCGGCCGCACGGGGCCCGUCCCUGCCGUAGCUGCAGCUCGUUAAAGUCUGGCUGGAGGCGAGAGAGAUCCCUCGAUAAAGAUGUGAAGCGAAAUCGAGGCCCAUCCUGCUCUGCUCAGGGAGCCUUCAGCGGCACCAUGGGAAUGAAAACAUCCCCAAAACCUUCACGGAGUCCGAGUGGGAAUCAUGGAGCCAUGAUCCACCUAAAGGGGAGGAUUACAGAGCCUUGUGCUCUGUGGGCACAGCCCAAGCCAUGGAUUUGCUGGAAAUGGGGAAUGAUGUGUCCUGUCCCAGAGAGCAGCAGGAAGGCAGAGCCAGGAGGGAAUUCAGCCUCUCUCACCCAUUUCUGUGGCCUCAUUCAUUGAAGCCAAUAUUCCUCCCUUCCCAGAGCUCGGGAGGAAAAGGAGCUGCUCCAGCGAGGAUAUUUAGGAUUAAACCUCUACUCCAGUUCCAUUAAAGCUCAUGAUUAAAGUGCUGGACUCCAGACAAUGCUUCCCUGACUUCCCAGCUGCUCCCCCAGCUCCCACUUUACAUCUCCAGCCCAACCCCUUUUCAGCCACCUUUGAAUUUUCCCCUUUCUUGCAGGGUUUUAUUCUUUCCCUUUAAUUUUUUUUUUUUCAAACCCCAAAUCCAUGAGUGGCCACUUCUGCAAGCGAUAAAAAUCUUAUUCCCUGCCUUUGGAUUUUUUUUUUUUUCCAGGCAAUUGUAGCUUGCAACACCUUAAUUAUCGCGGCUCUGAAAACCGGUUAAAGAUUUUAAUACUUCCUUCCCCAGCCUAUUAUGCAGCGACUUCUCAGCCCCAUAAAAUGUUCCUCUGGAGCCCCAUGGCCUCGUGCUGCUGCAUUUCCCUGCUCCAUCCUUUCCCCACGGAUUAAACACUCCCAGCUCUCCCCUUGGGGCAGGUGGGAAGCGCUCGGAUUUCCAGGUGGAAAAUGGGACUUUUUUUUUUAAUUUUUUAAUUGAAAUCCUAUGACACAGCCAGCAAAAAUGUUGCAUCAUUUUAAUCAGGCAGCACAUCUGCAGAAGGUGCAAGAUUCCCGGAGCCUGAGCGCGGGAAUGAUGGGAUAAAUCACGGGAAAGGCGAAUCCUUGACAUCACCUUCAUUGCUGGUUUUGAUGCUGUGAUUUCUCGGCUUCCCUGGCACCCAUCCUGCCUGGCUGGCUGGUAUUCCAUGGGUGCGAGGCUCCGAGGCUCUUUGGAUGUCUCCAUGCAUCCCAGAAAAAAAAAAAAAAUUGUGGGUUCUUUUGUAUUGCUUUUUGGGUUUUUGUUCAUUUAUGGGGGGGAGUUGUUUUUAGUUUUUGGGUUUUUUUUGUUUGUUUUGUUUUGUUUUUGUUUUUCAUUUUAUAGAAAUUUGGGUUAAUCACA